GUGGACCCCUGGCUGACCGAUGCAUCGUGUGCGCGUCCUGCGUGCCUCACCUCCGUCUUCGGUUGGAGAGAGGAGAUGGACUGGCAAAAUAUCUCGCGAGCCCACUUCCCGCAUCUCCAUCGACCUAGCCGCCUCCACGCUCGUGCAUCCUCCCGCGUCAAUCGCGCCCAAACCUCCUCAUCUCGGAUCCCGUGGGACCGAGGUGCGGGCAUGGAGGCGAGCUUCCCUGGCGGCCGCGGCGACCUGCAGGCAAAGGGUGACGGCGGCGGCGGCGCUCGAUUAGAUCUGCGGGAGAGAGAGGAUGAGAGGGAGAGAUAAGGAAGAAGAUGAGAGGGAGAGAGAGAGAGAGAGAGAGAGAGAGAGAGAGGAAAUGGGAGAGGGAGGGCUUCUACGUCGCCGCUCUCUGGAUGCACGCCAUCCACCCGCGCACGCUAGCCGCCAACCUCGCCGGCUUCGCCAGGUUCGGCUGCCUCAAGGACCUCCCCGAGAUCCUCUAUCGUUUCCUCCACGGCCCCCGCGAUGAGCGCAAGGACUAGGACGACGUCGCCGCGGCGGCCCCGGGGGCAAGAGCGGCAAGCGGCGCUGCGUCGGCGGCCUUGCCGCCGCCGCGGCUGAGGCCUCCAAGGCCCGGCGCGAGAAGGAGGCGGAGCACGCGCAGGCCGUGCUCGCGCGCUACGACUCUGACGAGGCCUUCCGCAACCUCUACGACGGCGUCGCCGACCUCUUCGCCGGGCUGCUCAAGUCGGACCAGGAGCACCUGCACGCGGGCGACACGGCCAAGAUCGUGUUCGCCGCCAAGUGGUGCCCGUCGCUGCGCUCGUCGUACGACCGCGCGACGCUGCUCUGCGAGGCCAUCGCGCGCCGGGUCUUCCCGCGCGACUCGAGCCCCGAGUACCUCGCUAUCCCCGACAAGCACUACGCCUACCGCGUCCGCAACCGGCUCCGCCGCGAGGUGCAGGUGCCGCUCCGCAAGGUGCUCGAGCUCCCCGAGGUCUACAUGAGCGCCGGCAAGUGGGACGAGCUGCCCUGCGCGCGCGCUUGGCGUCCACGGCCAUGCGCCAGUACAAGAGGCGUCCUGGCUGUGCUUCUUUCUUCUGGUCCAUGGACAUUGUCAUAAUGGUCACCUUAUCGCAGUGUAUUAUUUUUGGAUCUCAUAUUCCUCAAGGCGCGCCAUCCUCUGAUUCGAUGUCGGCCGAUCUGAGAAAUAAGAGGAGGAAUAAUCCAGCAGAAGAAUUUGGUGAAGAAGAACAAGAAAAGAAUACCUUUAUCCUGAUAGGCAUGGAAACACCGGUUCGCAUUGAGUGCAUCAUCGUUAUAAUCAGCUACUAUAGAGCAAUGGAUAUAGAAGAAAUAUGUAAACAGUUGUCCCUAGAAGAAAUAUGCAACAACUUAUUCAGUAGAGAGCAAGGGACAUAUAAGAAAUCUCCAGGCAGCUUCACUUAGAUGCAUCAUCUUCUGCUAGGAGUCAGCUUGAAGAACGACCUUCUCAGGUUAAUUCUUGGGUCAGUGUUUCAGCUUUUCUCCAUUGGUUUGUAAAAACCACAUGGAGACUGCAACUGACAUGCUGGAUGGGGAAUAACCAAAUUUGUGGACAAAGACAAAGAGUUCAUCGCAAGGGGUGGUGUUUAGGAUAUAUACACAAAAGAGGAAACUUUUUUUGUACAGAACCAAAUUAUAUGAUGUAUUUGACCACUAUUUCUAAGAAAUGUUCAUCAUGUAUUCAGUACAUUUUAUUGUGUCACUUUUUUGAGGGGUAGCUUUAUUCAUCAAACAUCACAAAGUGUGCGAUAGAGUUCAUCAAACCAGGCUUUAUUGUGUCA